UACGUAGGGGGCAAGCGUUGUCCGGAAUUAUUGGGCGUAAAGAGCUCGUAGGCGGUUUGUUGCGUCGGCUGUGAAAUCCCGAGGCUCAACCUCGGGUCUGCAGUCGAUACGAGCAAACUAGAGUAUUGCAGGGGAGACUGGAAUUCCUGGUGUAGCGGUGAAAUGCGCAGAUAUCAGGAGGAACACCGGUGGCGAAGGCGGGUCUCUGGGCAAUAACUGACGCUGAGGAGCGAAAGCGUGGGGAGCGAACAGG
rnacentral:rRNA from 1 species